rnacentral:snRNA from 1 species
GGAUGUGAGAGUAAUCUGGCUGCAGCAUCUGUCACCCCAUUGAUUGCCAGGGUUGAUUCGGCUGCUCUGGCUGGCUAGGCAGGUGUCCCCUUCCUCCCUCACCGCUCCAUGUGUGUCCCUCCUGAAUGCUCAGCCUAAGAGGAUGGCCUUCCCCGAAUAGAGGAGGACUGGUCUUCGGCCAAUGGGAGCUGCGCUCCCCUGCUAGAACCUCCAAACAAGCUCUCAAGAAAUAAAGUUGUUGUUGUUUGGAUAGUUUGGCUUGGGAGGCUCUGUGUCAACCA